CUCUAGCCUAUUAAAUAGGUGCGGGGUUCCCAGCACCUUACAACCUUCUUAGAGGGACAAGCGGCUCCUAGCCGCACGAAACAGAGCAAUAACAGGUCUGUGAUGCCCUUAGAUGUCCGGGGCUGCACGCGCGCUACACUGAAGGAAGCAGCGUGUCUUUAUCCCUGUCUGAAAAGACUGGGUAACCCGUGGAACUUCUUUCGUGAUUGGGAUAGGGGCUUGCAAUUGUUCCCCUUGAACGAGGAAUUCCCAGUAAGCGCGAGUCAUCAGCUCGCGUUGAUUACGUCC
rnacentral:rRNA from 1 species